rnacentral:lncRNA from 1 species
GGGUCAAUUUGGGGCAAUUUGGUGUUUCUAGGGCUGAUUUUGGGGUCAUUUGGGGGCAAUUUGGGGUUUUUAGGGCCGAUUUUGAGGCAAUUUGGGUCAGUUUGGGUCAAUUUGGGGUCAAUUUAGGGCAAUUUGGGGUUUUUAGGGCUGAUUUUGGGGCAUUUUGGGUCAAUUUUGGGUUUUUAGGGCUGAUUUUGGGGCAUUUGAGGGCAAUUUGGGGUUUUUAGGGCUGAUUUUGGGGCAUUUUGGGUCAAUUUUGGGUUUUUAGGGCUGAUUUUGGGGCAUUUGAGGGCAAUUUGGGGUUUUUAGGGCUGUUUUGGGGUCAUUUUGGGUCAAUUUGGUGUUUUUAGGGCUGAUUUUGGGGCAUUUGGGGGCAAUUUGGGGUUUUUAGGGCCGAUUUUGGGGCAUUUGGGGGCAAUUUGGGGAUUUUAGGGCCGAUUUUGGGGCAUUUGGGGGCAAUUUGGGGUUUUUAGGGCCGAUUUUGGGGCAUUUGAGGGCAAUUUGGGGGUUUUUAGGACUGAUUUUGGGGUCAAUUUGGGUCAAUUUGGGUUUUUUAGGGUCGAUUUUGGGGCAUUUGGGGGCAAUUUGGGGUUUUUAGGGCCGAUUUUGGGGCAUUUGGGGGCAAUGUGGGGUUUUUAGGGCCAAUUUUGGGGCCAUUUGGGGGCAAUUUGGGGUUUUUAGGGCCGAUUUUGGGGCAUUUGGGGGCAAUUUGGGGUUUUUAGGGCCGAUUUUGGGGCAUUUGAGGGCAAUUUGGGGGUUUUUAGGACUGAUUUUGGGGUCAAUUUGGGUCAAUUUGGGUUUUUUAGGGUCGAUUUUGGGGCAUUUGGGGGCAAUUUGGGGUUUUUAGGGCCGAUUUUGGGGCAUUUGGGGGCAAUUUGGGGUUUUUAGGGCCGAUUUUGGGGCCAUUUGGGGGCAAUUUGGGGUUUUUAGGGCCGAUUUUGGGGCAUUUGGGGGCAAUUUGGGGUUUUUAGGGCCGAUUUUGGGGCAUUUGAGGGCAAUUUGGGGGUUUUUAGGACUGAUUUUGGGGUCAAUUUGGGUCAAUUCGGGUUUUUUAGGGUCGAUUUUGGGGCAUUUGGGGGCAAUUUGGGGUUUUUAGGGCCGAUUUUGGGGCAUUUGGGGGCAAUGUGGGGUUUUUAGGGCCAAUUUUGGGGCCAUUUGGGGGCAAUUUGGGGUUUUUAGGGUCGAUUUUGGGGCAUUUGGGGGCAAUUUGGGGUUUUAGGGCUGAUUUUGGGGCAUUUGGGGUUUUCUGGGGGUGGAUUUGGGGCCAAUUCUGGGUCAAUUUGGGGCGGUUUUGGUGCAUUUUGGGGUCAUUUCCCAAUUUGGGGCCAUUUUGGGUCCAUUUCCCCCCAUUUAGGGCCAUUUUGGGGUCAAUUCACCCCAUAUCCCCCAAUUUAGGGCCAUUUGGGUCCCAUUUCCCCCAAUUUUGGGGGCCAUUUCCCCCCAUUUAGGGCCAUUUUGGGGUCAAUUCCCCCCAAUUUGGGUUCAUUUCCCCCGAUUUAGGGCCAUUUUGGGCCCAUUUCCCCCCAUUUAGGGCAAUUUUGGGGUCAAUUCACCCCAUAUCCCCCCAUUUAGGGCCAUUUGGGUCCCAUUUCCCCCAAUUUUGGGGUCCAUUUCCCCCCAUUUAGGCCAUUUUGGGGUCAAUUCACCCCCAUUUCCCCCUUUUGGGUCCAUUUCCCCCCAUUUAGGGCCAUUUUGGGGUCCAUUCACCCCAAUUUCCCCCUUUUGGGUCCAUUUCCCCCAAUUUGGGGCCAUUUUGGGGUCACUUUCCCCAUUUGGGGCCAUUUUGGGUCUAUUUCCCCCCAUUUAGGGCCAUUUUGGGGUCAAUUCCCCCCAAUUUGGGUCCAUUUCCCCCCAUUUAGGGCCAUUUUGGGGCCAUUUUCCCCCAUUUAGGGCCAUUUUGGGCCCAUUUCUCCCCAUUUUGGGGUCAAUUCCUCCCAUUUGGGGUCCAUUUCCCCCCAUUUAGGGCCAUUUUGGGGUCCAUUUCCCCCCAUUUAGGGCCAUUUUGGGGUCAAUUCACCCCGAUUUGGGUUCAUUUCCCCCCAUUUAGGGCCAUUUGGGGUCCAUUUCCCCCUAUUUUGGGUACAUUUCCCCCCAUUUAGGGCCAUUUUUGGGCCCAUUUCCCCCCAUUUGGGACCAUUUUGGGUCCAUUCACCCCAAUUUGGGGCCAUUUUGGGUCCAUUUCCCCCAUUUAGGGCCAUUUUGGGCCCAUUUCCCCCAUUUAGGGCCAUUUUGGGUCCAUUCACCCCCAUUUCCCCCAUUUUGGGUACAUUUCCCCCAUUUAGGGCCAUUUUGGGCCCAUUUCCCCCCAUUUAGGGCCAUUUUGGGCUCCAUUCACCUCAAUUUGGGGCCAUUUGGGGUCCUUUUCCCCCCAUUUAGGACCAUUUUGGGGUCAAUUCCUCCCAUUUGGGGUCCAUUCACCCCAUUUAGGACCAUUUUGGUCCCAUUUCCCCCCAUUUAGGGCCAUUUGGGGCCCAUUUCCCCACAAUUUAGGUCCAUUUUCCCCCAUUUAGGGCCAUUUGGGGCCCAUUUCCCCCCAUUUAGGGCCAUUUUGGGGUCAAUUCACCCCCAUUUCCCCCAUUUUGGGUCCAUUUCCCCCCAUUUAGGGCCAUUUGGGUCCAUUUCCCCCCAUUUAGGGCCAUUUUGGGGCCGUUUUGGGGCCGUUCGGACCCUUUUAUCCCCCCCGCCCCCCCCCCCAACGUCUCCCCACGGGGGGGGGCAGCAGCUGUGGGGCUGAGGCUCCGCCCCCCCCCCCACCUGUCCCCCCCCCCCCUAUGGGGGCUCUAUUUUGG